rnacentral:rRNA from 1 species
UUGAUUUAUAAUAUAAAGUCUGGCCUGCCCAAUGAUUAAUUUAAUGGCCGCGGUAUUUUAACCGUGCAAAGGUAGCAUAAUCAUUAGUUUUUUAAUUGAAAACUGGAAUGAAUGGUUUGACGAGAAAUUAUUUGUCUCUUGUUUAUAAAUUGAAUUUUAUUUAUAAGUUAAAAAGCUUAUAUGAUUUUAAAAGACGAGAAGACCCUAUAGAGUUUUAUAUAAAUUGAAAAUUUUUUAAUUUUGAGUUUAUAUUUUGUUGGGGAGAUAGAAAAAUUUAAAAAACUUUUUUUUUAUUUAUUUACUUAUAAGUAUAAAUUUGAUCUUUAAUUUAUGAUUAAAAGAUUAAAUUACCUUAGGGAUAACAGCGUAAUUUAUUUUUAGAGUUCUUAUCAAAAAAUAAGUUUGCGACCUCGAUGUUGGAUUAAAAUUUAAUUAUAAUGAAGAAGUUAUAAUUUUUGGUCUGUUCGACCAUUAAAAUUUUACAUGAUCUGAGUUUAAACCGGUGUGAGCCAGGUUGGUUUCUAUCUUUAAAAUUUUAUUAUAAUUUAGUACGAAAGGACCAAUUAUUAAGUAUUAUAUUUUAUUUUGAUUAUUACUAUUAUUUUGGCAGAUUAGUGCAAUGGAUUUAGAAUCUUUAUAUGUAUAUUUUACAAAUAAUACUUGGUAUUUUUUGAUUAUGUUUUACUAUUUUUAAACUUUUUAAUUCUUUUGAUUUCUGUAUUAAUUGGGGUUGCUUUUUUAACUCUUCUUGAACGAAAAGUCUU